CUGCUUCUCAUCUUUCUUUAGAUGGAGUAACAGUUUGCACUUCAGGAAAGCUUAACUGUUGGCUGCUGGAGUUCUCUUGAUAUCAUAACAACCAGUGUCUCACAAUGUGCAAAGAUUUCCGCGUGCUUCACUGCAACAUAGCCAAGUGACUGCCUUUAAUGCCAGCUAUGAAUCUGCAUAUAGGAGCUCAUCCCAAGAUGAAGCUCUACGUGGAUCUGAAUUAAAGGAGGCAAGUCCUAAACAGGCAGAAGUUCUCAGAAGGAGCACAGUGACCUUGGAGAAAUUCAAAAGCAACCAGAAGAGCAGCUUUGGGGAGCAGAGCUGGAGCAGGGAUGUUGGACCAGAUGACCUUGAGGGGGCUUUUCCAACUGCAGCUGUUCUGUGGUGCAGUGAUACUUUAUUAAUCAGGUUCUUCAUUCAACUCUGAAACCAGUGUUUUACUGGAGCCUUACUUAAUUCUGUAUUUUGAUAAUUAGUGCAUUGAAAAAUCAAGGUUUGCUGUAGGAGGAAAACUUUUCCCUUUGCAUCUUUUUAAACAAAAGCAAGUGAAAGUAGAGGAUUCUUCCACUGGUAUCAGUAAAGUGAUGUCUACUUCAAAUCCUAUAGGAGAGGAAUGGUUUGCAUUGUGAACAGAAUUUGUGGGAGUAGGGUUUUGUGAACAUGUAAUAAUGAACUCUGGCAACAUGCAGGGGGGAAUGGAGGGAGAAGGGGGCACAGGUGUGAUUGCAUUGGUUUGUUGGUAACGAGCUAGGAAAUCAGUGAGUGCAUGGAACAGUCGAGAAGAUUGGGUGCUGCUUUCAUUGCUGCUGCUGCUCUUGUUGCCAUAUUAGCAAGUGAGAAACGUAACUCAAACCAAACAGAAGCAAGGAGAGUCUAAAUACGGCAGUGUAAGUCAGUAUCCACAUACUGUCUCACCUUCACUUCUAAUCUUGCUGGAAGCUUUGUCCUUCCACAAAACGUACUGUUUGCAGAGAUUUGAUCACCGCUACUUUGCAGUAGAGUUUGAGGUUGCUUUGGACUUUUUACAGCAGUAGUGACAUUUGCUUUGUAGUAUAAAGGUGGACCCAAAUAGUUUUGUGCUUCCAGAAGUCUGUGCUGAUCCUCUGUUCUUAAUGGGAGUGUUUUAAAUCACAUUAAGUUCUGGACCAAACUCCAGUUGAUUUCUUUCUAAAACUGUAAGGAACAAUUUAAAUUGCUGAGUAACAUUACUGGAGAAGUCAAUGUUAUGAUGCUCAUCUAAAAUUGGAUAUUUUGCUUAUUAAAAUGCUGAUGGUAAAAUGGAAGCUUAUGGGAGCUUGUAU
rnacentral:lncRNA from 1 species